GAGACAUAACUUAGAGAAAUAUAUCUAUGAGGAAAAAAACGCAUAUGCCGUUUGUGAAAGGAAUAAGUAUUGCUGCAACUUAUUGUGGAUCCUCAUAAAUAUGGGACAAGAAUCCAGAGCUUGCAGGUGGUUGGAGUAAAAGAGCUCUAAUACUGCCUCCCACUCACCAAACAACAGGAGUGGAAAAGCUGCAACACUAUGAUGACCUGGUGGUCAGAGAAUCAUUCACACCACUGGCAUGAACAUAAAAGAACUAUGCCAUGUUGAGGAGUUUCUGAGAGGAUAAAGGGAGCACCAUUCUUUGGCAUAGCUGGAAGUGACAGAGAUGGGCACAACUAUGCCAUGGAGCAAGUAAAGUGGAAGUCCCAGGAAACCAGAUGAUUAAAAUUUAUCUGUUUCUAAGAAAAAGUUGACCUUAUAAAGAACUUGGGUAAGGGACAUAGGGUGAAAGCCAAUGAUUCUAAGUAACAUUAAUAAAGAAAGAUAUCUUGAG
rnacentral:lncRNA from 1 species